UGCUUUUAGCCAUUGGCAGUUUGAUUUCGGCUCAAAAAGAGCGGGUAAAACCGCAAAAGUAU
rnacentral:tRNA from 1 species